rnacentral:rRNA from 1 species
UACGUAGGUGGCAAGCGUUGUUCGGAAUUAUUGGGCGUAAAGGGCGCGUAGGCGGCUUGUUAAGUCGGCUGUGAAAGCCCGGGGCUCAACCCCGGAGGGUCAGCCGAUACUGGCAGGCUAGAGUACGGAAGAGGGUAGCUGGAAUUCCCGGUGUAGCGGUGAAAUGCGUAGAUAUCAGGAGGAACACCGAUGGCGAAGGCAGGUCUCUGGGCAUUAACUGACGCUGAGGAGCGAAAGCAUGGGGAGCGAACAGG